rnacentral:rRNA from 1 species
UACGAAGGGGGCUAGCGUUGUUCGGAAUUACUGGGCGUAAAGCGCACGCAGGCGGCUCGAUAAAUUAGAAGUGAAAGCCCCGGGCUUAACCUGGGAAUUGCUUUUAAGACUGUCGGGCUAGAAUCCAGAAGAGGGUAGUGGAAUUCCGAGUGUAGAGGUGAAAUUCGUAGAUAUUCGGAAGAACACCGGUGGCGAAGGCGGUCUGCUGGGCAGUUGCUGACACUGAGGCGCGACAGCGUGGGGAGCAAACAGG